GAUGAACGCUGGCGGCGUGCCUAAUACAUGCAAGUCGAGCGAACGGACGAGAAGCUUGCUUCUCUGAUGUUAGCGGCGGACGGGUGAGUAACACGCGGAUAACCUACCUAUAAGACUGGGAUAACUUCGGGAAACCGGAGCUAAUACCGGAUGAUAUUUUGAACCGCAUGGUUCAAAAGUGAAAGACGGUCUUGCUGUCACUUAUAGAUGGAUCGGCGCUGCAUUAGCUAGUUGGUAAGGUAAUGGCUUACCAAGGCAACGAUGCAUAGCCGACCUGAGAGGGUGAUCGGCCACACUGGAACUGAGACACGGUCCAGACUCCUACGGGAGGCAGCAGUAGGGAAUCUUCCGCAAUGGGCGAAAGCCUGACGGAGCAACGCCGCGUGAGUGAUGAAGGUCUUCGGAUCGUAAAACUCUGUUAUUAGGGAAGAACAUAUGUGUAAGUAACUGUGCACAUCUUGACGGUACCUAAUCAGAAAGCCACGGCUAACUACGUG
rnacentral:rRNA from 1 species